rnacentral:sRNA from 1 species
UCCACGGCUCGCGCCGUGGGCUAAACUCUUGCGCCCCUCCGGGGCU